GACGAACGCUGGCGGCGUGCUUAACACAUGCAAGUCGAACGGAAAGGCCCUGCUUUUGUGGGGUGCUCGAGUGGCGAACGGGUGAGUAACACGUGAGUAACCUGCCCUUGACUUUGGGAUAACUUCAGGAAACUGGGGCUAAUACCGGAUAGGAGCUCCUGCUGCAUGGUGGGGGUUGGAAAGUUUCGGCGGUUGGGGAUGGACUCGCGGCUUAUCAGCUUGUUGGUGGGGUAGUGGCUUACCAAGGCUUUGACGGGUAGCCGGCCUGAGAGGGUGACCGGCCACAUUGGGACUGAGAUACGGCCCAGACUCCUACGGGAGGCAGCAGUGGGGAAUAUUGCAAAAUGGGCGGAAGCCUGAUGCAGCAACGACGCGAGCGGGAUGACGGCCUUCGGGUUGUAAACCGCUUUCGCCUGUGACGAAGCGUGAGUGACGGUAAUGGGUAAAGAAGCACAGGCUAACUACGUG
rnacentral:rRNA from 1 species